CCAUUAGGGUUUGUCUCCAUGUCGAGUAUCAGCAUAUUUCGUCUCCGAUCAAACCUAAAAUUCCAAAUCCAACUACGAAACCCUAAAUCUUCACUACAAUCUCACUACUAAUGGCGAGAUACGAUAGAGUUAUCACGCUGUUUCAUUUUUUGCUCCUUAUUUUGAGUUACAAGUGUUAAUGAACUUGAUAACUUGUGCAGAUCUAUGCUGAACAGGAUGUGGAUCUUGAAAUCCUAUGGGAUAGAGCUAAUGAUGCCAUUUCUGGUGUUUUCUUGUAGCCUUGUAUUAAGAUUUGUGGCGUUGGAGGAUUUUGAAAAUGGUGGAACAUUAUCAGUCGUCUCGUGAUAUAUUGUAUAGUACUUAAGUUUGUUUUCUUGUUCGUGAUAUGUUGGCACUCAGUCAAAAUGGGCCAGUCGGGUUAGGAUGGAUGCGCACAAAGCAUGUUGAAGACCCAUGCAAACAUCCAUGUUCACAUGUUAGAUUAGAGGUGCUAAUAUGGGUUUAAUUGUUUUUAUGUAAGUAGAUUGCUGAAACUGCCAAGAAGCAUAAGAUUGUGGUUAUAGCAGAUAAGUUUAUGGCCAUUUAGCAUUUGGAGCAAACCCAUUUGUGCCAAUGGGUGUUUUUGGGUCCAUGGUGCCUGUUCUUACACUCGGGUCUUUUCAAAAAGAUGGAUAGUGCCAGGUUGGCGGCUCGGGUGGUUUGUCAUGACUGACCCUAAUGCCAUUUUAAAAAAUGCAAAGGGCGCUCUUGACGUAUUUCAGCAACUUCCUCUUAAGCAUUAUAACACAGCCUGGGUGCUCUCUCAGGUUGGAAAAGCUCAUUUUGAACUGGUUGAUUAUAUAGAAGCCGAGCGUGCCUUUAGCAAUGCUCGUUUGGCUUCUCCUUAUAGCUUAGAAGGAAUGGAUGUCUAUUCUACUGUUUUAUAUCACCUAAAGGAGGAUAUGAGGCUGAGUAAUUUGGCACAGGAGCUAAUAUCAACAGACCGCUUAGCCCUGCAGUCAUGGUGUGCAAUGGGAAAUUGCUAUAGCAUGCAGAAAGACCAUGAAACUGCGCUAAAAAACUUCCAAUGUAUCAAAAAGCAAAUAUUCUUGCGAGUAUGGAGGAUUAUGAUGGUGCUUUGGUUGUUCUAGAAGAACAUAAAGAAUACGCUCCUCAAGAAAGCAGCGUUUAUGCAUUGAUGGGAAAGAUAUAUAAAAAACGCCUUAUAUACGACAUGGCCAUGCUUCAUUUUGGUCGAGCUUUGGAUUUGAAGCCUUCUGCAACCGAUGUUGCUACUAUCAAGGCUGCCAUUGAGAAAUUACAUGUACCUGAUGAAUUAGAAGAUAACUUCAAGUGCUAUUGACAGAAGUGAGUUUGAUUCUCUUCUAAAGCUAUAUAUAGAAGCCGAUGCAGUUCAAGAGAAAGCAAGAACUCUGAGUUAUAUAGCGUCUUCUCCGGACCCAGAUGUAGUCAAAGAGGCGUUAGACCUCAUCUUAAAUGAUGAGAAUCGAGAACAAGACACGGUAUAUGUAACUGCACGGAUGAGCUUGGAAGGCCGUGAAACAGCAUGGAUAUGGCUAAAACCGUAAAAUCAUACAUAAAUUAAAAUUUUUCUGAUACAUGUAUUCUGUAAUUAGUGUUAAAACUGCCUUAAUGGCUAUCAAUUUAGAAAAGAGGGUGUAUAUAUGAUUGUAGUUUUUUUUCCCCAUGUUUAGUUUUUGAUUAUAUGCUGAACAGUAAAUACUUUUCUGGUUUGUAUUCUCUUUUCAGGAGAAACUGGGAUGUGAUUGUAAAGCGGUGGGGUCAAGGGAUGGUGUUCCAUCGUUUCAAUAGAGAUAUAGUGACACCGUUUAGCAGCGAUGAGAUGGCAGAACAGGUGGAAGAGUUUUUUAGCAACCGAGUAACUCCUUUGUUUGUUAGGAUCUUGAAACAAAGCAUAGAAAAAAUCCAAAUCAAAGCCAGAUGGAUUGAUAAAAUUAGGCAGGGAGGAAUCUCUUAUACCUAGGUUGACCAGAGGAUUGACCAGAACUCCAGUGAAAACAUAAUAACAAGACCCAAACCAUUGGAUCCUUGUCAUGCUUUUGUUCUGUAUUAAACACACCCCUAUACAUGUGUGUGUAUGAUGUAUGUAUAUUUUGUAUCCAUAACGCUUUUUGAGUCCCAUGUUAACAAUAACAUCACCUAAAAGCUCAACAUAGAUGUAUGUAAUGUAACAUAAUCGAUAAACGCUAUUUUCUAGACAUGCAUUCAUAUAUUCGUUUUAUAUUUGUAAAAUGUAAAAUAUCAUAAUAUUUAAUAACA
rnacentral:lncRNA from 1 species